GCAUCGAUGAAGAACGCAGCAAAGUGCGCUAACUUAGGUGAACCGCAACUGGCGCGACUCCUUGAGAUUUUGAACGCAAAGUGUGCCCCGGUGUAACAGCCGGGGCGUGUUUGGUUGAGCGUCGCAAACAAAACCAUGCUGCCUCAGGGCAUGCAACCUUGGACUCAGCACUUAACUUUGCUUUGUCUUAAAUGCAUGAUGGCGGACUUCCGUAGAGAAAACUGCAUUAAGUCGGUUGAUGUUAAGAGGCCCAGGCUUCCACACGCGAUCAGCUUUUUCGCAACGCACGGUCGUUACUUGUUCAUCCUUCUUCUGGAUUGUCAUCAAUCCCAUCUCGACCUCAACUCAAGCACGGUUACCCGCUGAAUUUAAGCAUAUCAAUAAGCGGAGGA
rnacentral:rRNA from 1 species